rnacentral:rRNA from 1 species
AUUGAACGCUGGCGGCAGGCCUAACACAUGCAAGUCGAGCGGAUGAAGGGAGCUUGCUCCUGGAUUCAGCGGCGGACGGGUGAGUAAUGCCUAGGAAUCUGCCUGGUAGUGGGGGAUAACGUCCGGAAACGGGCGCUAAUACCGCAUACGUCCUGAGGGAGAAAGUGGGGGAUCUUCGGACCUCACGCUAUCAGAUGAGCCUAGGUCGGAUUAGCUAGUUGGUGGGGUAAAGGCCUACCAAGGCGACGAUCCGUAACUGGUCUGAGAGGAUGAUCAGUCACACUGGAACUGAAACACGGUCCAGACUCCUACGGGAGGCAGCAGUGGGGAAUAUUAGACAAUGGGCGAAAGCCUGAUCCAGCCAUGCCGCGUGUGUGAAGAAGGUCUUCGGAUUGUAAAGCACUUUAAGUUGGGAGGAAGGGCAGUAAGUUAAUACCUUGCUGUUUUGACGUUACCAACAGAAUAAGCACCGGCUAACUUCGUG